GACGUAGGGGGCCAGCGUUGUUCGGAAUUACUGGGUGUAAAGGGUUCGUAGGCGGUGUGGCAAGUCGGGAGUGAAAUCUCUGGGCUCAACUCAGAGACUGCUUCCGAAACUGCUGUGCUGGAGUGUGGGAGAGGCGCGUGGAAUUGCAGGUGUAGCGGUGAAAUGCGUAGAUAUCUGCAGGAACACCCGUGGCGAAAGCGGCGCGCUGGACCACUACUGACGCUGAGGAACGAAAGCGUGGGUAGCAAACAGG
rnacentral:rRNA from 1 species